rnacentral:rRNA from 1 species
GGGGGGAGGAGGGCGUUUUAUUAGGGGAAGCAAUUGAAUGGAAUGAAUGGCACCCGUUUAUAGCUGGGCCUGUAGCUGUACCCAUAGCAUUUGCGUUCGGAGCUAGUAUUCCUCUGCCCCUGCCUGCCUACCGCGAGCACCUCCGUCUACCUCCUCUUCCCUCCUCGUCGUCCUCCCGCUGCCGGCCGGGUUCCGCUUCGCCUCGCCUGCAUGGAGCCGGGCGGGCCGUGGCGCGAUCCGCGCCAGGGGUACAUCUACGGGCUCGGAUCGCCGAUGCAGAUGCCGGCGCAGCAGCGCUCCGACCCGGCCGCGGCUGGCGGGGUUCUCAAGCGGAGCCUCGGCGAGUUAGAGAGGUGGCAGCACCAGCGCCAGUUCGCCAUGCAGCAGGAGCUCUACUUGCGCGCCGUCAGGCAGCGCACGGCCGCCACGUCGCCGGCCGUCUCCCCGCUUACGUCGGCGGACAUCGCCGCGGUGCUCGGCGGGGUCCCGGCCCAGCCCUUCUUCUCCGGGUCGAGCCUCGGCGGUGGCCUCGCGUCCCCUUCGUCCACGCUGUCGUCCCUCACGACCGCGUCCAGGGCGGCCAUGCCGCUGAUUCAGCACCAUGUGCAUCGGCAGACGCCGUUAGUGCCGUCCUCGGCGCACGCGCAGACGCAGGCACAGGCGCAUGCUCUCGCGGUGGCGAGGGUGCCGGCUCCCUCGGCGGUUGGGAGCGAGCUGUCCAUCCUGCAGGACUUGGAGAAGCAACUGCUCGGCGACGACGACGAGGCUGAGCCGGCGAUGAGCGGAACCGGUUCUACGGUCACCAGCUCCGAGUGGGAGGAGACCAUACAGCGGCUCAACUCAAUCACGGCCGCUUCGUCUCCUCCACUCUACGCGGAGGCGACUCCGAACAAUAAGAACAACUACAGCGCGGCGAUGACGGGGUCGCCAUCGAACUCGUCCACUUCCACGGCUUCUUCCUCGGCUUCCUGCUCACCGCCAAUCUCGGCCACCACGUCGCGUCAAUUACUCUCCGAAGCAGCGGCUGCCAUCGCCGACGGCAACCUUGAAACGGCGGCCGCUAAUCUGGCAACUCUCAAGCGUGCUGCUAACCCGCGCGGUGACGCGGAACAGCGGCUGGUGGCCGUGAUGGUGGCCGCCCUGUCUUCGCGCAUUGCGCCCACUGCCUCGGCAUCGUCCCAGCAGCUCGCUGACCUCUGCGGCGCCGAGCACCAUACCGGGUCCCAGCUCCUCCACGACAUCACGCCCUGCUUCCGCCUCGCCCUCGACGCCGCUAACAUCGCCAUCGUUGAGGCCGUCGCCGGCCACCGCGUCAUACAUCUGGUGGACUUCGACAUCAACGCCCCGCAGCACGCGGCUCUCAUCCAGCGCCUCGCCGACCGGCGCGUGCCGGGGACAUGCCUGCAGGUGACGGCUGUAACCGAUCCCACCUCACCGUUUACGCAGUCCCUAGCAGCGACGCUGCCCGGCGUCGGGGAGCGGCUCAAGAAGCUGGCGGAGCUCGCCGGCAUAGAGUACCACUUCAGAAUGAUCAGCUGCAGAGCAGUCGAGAUUGAGGCAUCCAAGCUGGGGUGCGAGCCCGGGGAGGCGCUGGCCGUCAACCUCGCCUUCGCGCUCUCGCACGUGCCUGACGAGAGCGUCUCGCCGGCGAACCCCCGCGACGAGCUUCUCCGCCGCGUGCGCGCUCUCGGCCCGCAGGUGGUGACACUCGUGGAGCAGGAGCUGAACUCCAACACCGCCCCGCUGGCCACGCGCUUCUCGGACGCGUACUUGCACUACGGAGCCAUUCUCGAUGCACUGGACUCGACGGUCAGCCGGGAUAGCGCGGACAGGGCGCGGGCAGAGGAGGCGGUGGCAAACAUGUCGGCCAACGCGGUUGGCCGGGAGGGUGCCGAUCGGCUGGAGCGGUGCGAGGUCUUCGGCAAAUGGCGCGCGCGGUUCGGCAUGGCCGGUUUCCGGCCGGUGGCGCUCGCCGCGGGCAUUGCCGACCAGGUCAUGGCGCGCGCCGGCGCUCCCCCGCCAGGCCUCGUCGUGAAACCGGAGAACGGCGUGCUCCGGCUCGGAUGGAAGCAGCGCGUGGUGGCCGUCGCCUCCGCCUGGCGCUAAUCUGGUGAGGUCGCGCCAUCAUUGCCGGCACCAGACAAUUGUUUAAUUAAUUCGCACCCGUCCUCUAUUUUUAUCGUUUCUUAUUUGUUCGAUUGGCAAGGUGUGAUGAGUUGGUUCUUGAUCUAGUAGUAAAGCUUAGCUGUAGCGACUCAUAAUCCUCGUAGCUAAUAUAUGGAAAGAGUACAUUAUUACGCUACUGAUUGCCGUUGUUGUUUUUGUCACCUGUUGCUUGGAGAAGUUGUAGAUAGCAUCGGCUGAUCCACUCCACCGCGUGAUUGUGGCUCCAUACACUUGUACACAGGUCGUAGUACUGCCCAAGUAGUGGGCGCGAGCGUGCAUCCGGGCCUACCGCCUUUCUUGUCGAUUAAUGUUUGUUUCCUCACGUCGGUUCGUGAAGUUUUCCUUCGUGACGUGCUACUUUCGGGUGUAUACUCGUCAGUAACUUCAGUUGGUCAUGCUUGUACGUAAUACUAGUAAAUUUUGGAAGUUUAUAUGCUAAUAGUAGCGGUUUGUUUGUUCGUUGAACAUUGAUUGCUUUGUUGCCCCUUGCACAUCGCACCCAAAUUCACCGGUAAUAAUAUCGAUCGCUUUUGAGUUGGAAGGAUGGCUGGAAGCCUGGAAGAGAGAUGGUGCACGAAAUGACAUGCUACUACUCCUGCUGUGCACUGGCUGGCCUCAAAAGUAUCCUACUACUACUGCUACUGCCGGCUGCACUCUCCGAUUUGGCUUCGAUACACAAUUACAUAUGCUGUCAAGUUGAUGUGUCGGGGCUCGGGGUUGCGUUCGUGGAGACGGAAGGGGCCCGGGUCUUUGGUAGUGGAACGAGGCAUCGUCUAUGCUUGUAGUGCUGUGUGCUUCAAGCUUAC